rnacentral:tRNA from 1 species
GCCGGUGUGGCUCAAUUGGUAGAGCAUCCGCCUUGUAAGCGGGGGGUUGCGGGUUCAAGUCCUGCCGCCGGCACCA